GAUGAACGCUGGCGGCGUGCCUAAUACAUGCAAGUCGAGCGAACGGACGAGAAGCUUGCUUCUCUGAUGUUAGCGGCGGACGGGUAAGUAACACGUGGAUAACCUACCUAUAAGACUGGGAUAACUUCGGGAAACCGGAGCUAAUACCGGAUAAUAUUUUGAACCGCAUGGUUCAAAAGUGAAAGACGGUCUUGCUGUCACUUAUAGAUGGAUCCGCGCUGCAUUAGCCAGUUGGUAAGGUAACGGCUUACCAAGGCAACGAUGCAUAGCCGACCUGAGAGGGUGAUCGGCCACACUGGAACUGAGACACGGUCCAGACUCCUACGGGAGGCAGCAGUAGGGAAUCUUCCGCAAUGGGCGAAAGCCUGACGGAGCAACGCCGCGUGAGUGAUGAAGGUCUUCGGAUCGUAAAACUCUGUUAUUAGGGAAGAACAUAUGUGUAAGUAACUGUGCACAUCUUGACGGUACCUAAUCAGAAAGCCACGGCUAACUACGUG
rnacentral:rRNA from 1 species